UGGGGAAUAUUGGGCAAUGGGCGAAAGCCUGACCCAGCAACGCCGCGUGAAGGACGAAGGCCUUCGGGUUGUAAACUUCUUUGAUCAGGGACGAAACAAAUGACGGUACCUGAAGAACAAGCCACGGCUAACUACGUGCCAGCAGCCGCGGUAAUACGUAGGUGGCGAGCGUUAUCCGGAUUUACUGGGUGUAAAGGGCGUGUAGGCGGGUUUGCAAGUCGGAUGUGAAAUUCCCGGGCUUAACUCGGGCGGGUCAUCCGAAACUGCAGAUCUUGAGUACUGGAGAGGAUAGUGGAAUUCCUAGUGUAGCGGUAAAAUGCGUAGAUAUUAGGAGGAACACCAGUGGCGAAGGCGGCUAUCUGGACAGUAACUGACGCUGAGGCGCGAAAGCGUGGGGAGCAAACA
rnacentral:rRNA from 1 species